rnacentral:rRNA from 1 species
UGCGCAGGCGGUUUUUUAAGUCAGAUGUGAAAUACCCGGGCUUAACCUGGGGGGUGCAUUUGAAACUGGGAGACUUGAGUGCAGGAGAGGAAAGUGGAAUUCCUAGUGUAGCGGUGAAAUGCGUAGAUAUUAGGAGGAACACCAGUGGCGAAGGCGACUUUCUGGACUGUAACUGACGCUGAGGCACGAAAGCGUGGGGAGCAAACAGGAUUAGAUACCCUGGUAGUCCACGCUGUAAACGAUGGAUACUAGGUGUAGGGGGCGAUAGCUCUCUGUGCCGCAGCUAACGCAAUAAGUAUCCCGCCUGGGGAGUACGAUCGCAAGGUUGAA